CAUCCCCCGUGUUGCGUAGACCCUUUAAUUCUUUGAGGUCACCACAAAGAGAUUCAAAGGAUUGGAAGGAUUCGCGUGUUAAAUUGUCAUCUUUGUCGCCUUCACCAGAGAAGUCUCCAGUUCGGCUGGAAUCUUCACCAAUUACAAGGACUAAGAAUUCUAGUGAGGAUAGAAGGUCAAUUAGUCCAUAUGAGAGCCCUGUGAGGCAAAGAAAAGGGAUAAGAAAUAGGUCUUCUAGUCCAUCCCGGAGUCCUGUGAGGCAAAGAAGGGGCCAUGUUACACAUGAUGACAGCUUAAGCCCUCCACAUAAGCCAAGACAGCAGAAAACUUAUCAAGAAAUUCCUCAGUAUAGAAAAGAGGAUGAAGAUACUGAUCAUGCUCG
rnacentral:misc_RNA from 1 species